rnacentral:piRNA from 1 species
ACCUUCGAGAGCAGGGUCAGGACAGC